rnacentral:rRNA from 1 species
UACGAACUGUGCGAACGUUAUUCGGAAUCACUGGGCUUACAGGGUGCGUAGGCGGCUUAGCAAGUCAGGUGUGAAAGCCCCCGGCUCAACCGGGGAACUGCGCUUGAAACUGCUGAGCUCGAGUCAGCUAGAGGUACACGGAACUUCCAGUGGAGCGGUGAAAUGUGUUGAUAUUGGAAGGAAGCACCGGACGGCGAAAGCGGUGUACUGGGGGCUGGUCUGACGCUGAGGCACGAAAGCCAGGGGAGCGAACGGG